UACGUAGGGGGCGAGCGUUGUCCGGAAUCAUUGGGCGUAAAGCGCGUGUAGGCGGCCCGGUAAGUCCGCUGUGAAAGUCCAGGGCUCAACCCUGGGAUGCCGGUGGAUACUGUCGGGCUCGAGUCCGGAAGAGGCGAGUGGAAUUCCUGGUGGUAGCGGUGAAAUGCGUAGAUAUGUGGAGGAACACCGAUGGCGAAGGCAGCCCCCUGGGAUAACACUGGACGCUCAUGCACGAAAGCGUGGGGAGCAAACAGG
rnacentral:rRNA from 1 species